rnacentral:lncRNA from 1 species
ACUCCACAACAAACUUCGAACCUGGAGAACCUUCGUGACUCGUUGACCUCCAUGACCAUUGGACCAACCAAGAGCUCCAACAGAACUUGCAACUACUUCUUGGUAUCCUGAAACCAUUACUAGAUGAAUGGAAUAAACAAACAACAGGGACAGCAAAGCUAAUGUCAAGCCACCACACUGUCCUGAAAAUUGGAUCAUAAGGCACCCCCAGCUGAUGCCUUCUCCAUUUUUUCCUUUUCAAUCUCUACCC